rnacentral:rRNA from 1 species
UACGAAGGGGCUAGCGUUGUUCGGAAUUACUGGGCGUAAAGCGCGUGUAGGCGGGUCUUAAGUCAGGGGUGAAAUGCCAGGGCUCAACCUUGGAACUGCCUUUGAUACUGGAGACCUUGAGUCCGGGAGAGGUGAGUGGAAUUGCGAGUGUAGAGGUGAAAUCGUAGAUAUUCGCAAGAACACCAGUGGCGAAGGCGGCUCACUGGCCCGAUACUGACGCUGAGGCACGAAAGCGUGGGGAGCAA